CACCCAAAACAGAAGCAGCACAACGCUGCGAGGUGGCUCCGGCCGCACCCCAGCCGUGGCAUUUGGAAGGGAUGCCAGGAAGCUCAGGGAGCAUUUGCCGUUGCUUUGUCUUUGCUCGCGGAGGCGAGGAAAGUCUCCCACGAGGGAGCAGCUGUGACGCACUCCCGGAUUUAUGUUCGCAGGGAAUAUCCGUGGGGAAACACAAGUUGUAAAUGUCUAAUUCUUCGGCUUAGUAACUGUGUGGAAACACAAAACAGGUACCCUGAGAGAGACCAAGAUUCCUGUCCUUAACUGUCCAGCCUCAGUGGAUGUCACACAAAGAACUUCAUCCCCAGGCACCAGGUGAAGGCUGGACUGCAACCUGUGGGAAAUACUAUGGGAGUGUGGUGUAUGUGUAAUGACUAAAGAAGGCAGGUUUGGAUUCACUGCUGAUUAUCACAAAAUGGCAAAAUGUUUCACAGAGUUCACUAAUAUCAACAGGAUUUUAGAAUAUGUAGCUCUGAUUGGUGGAUAGAAAAUGCAUUACUAAAGCUGGUUCUGUACCCUGGUGAAUACAUUACAGUACAAAAUCCUGACCAUGUUCAAAGCUCCAAACUGUAACAUGAUCCCUAAAGAAGUCAAAUAAAAGUUAGAAUUGUGCAACCCAAUCUGUUUAAAUUCAUGGAUUAUUUAAAUCUUAGUCUUUCUUACCUGGGUUUUGUAAAGGGUUGUCAGAACAAGUUCUUGUGUUAGGGGCUUUUCUUUUUCAAAUUGGACCAAUGUAUAUGAGGUCUUCAGCAACAUGCUGAUAAAGAUCAACAGCCAUGUUCUGUGAGGAAACACACCACAGUUAUAUAUCGUCAUCCUCUUGUAUGUUUUACGUUCCCUGUAUGUUCUCAGAUCUGGAAAAUAUGCUUCACAGUGACAGUUUAACUGGAGUACUGUGAGCUGAGGCAUGCAACAAGUUUCUAGGUUUCAUUUCAGUCAGAGGAAAAAAAAACCCAGGUUUGUUUUUUGUAAACAUGAGC